UAGGGAAUCUUCCACAAUGGACGCAAGUCUGAUGGAGCAACGCCGCGUGAGUGAAGAAGGUCUUCGGAUCGUAAAGCUCUGUUGUAAGAGAAGAACGUGUGUGAGAGUGGAAAGUUCACACAGUGACGGUAACCUACCAGAAAGGGACGGCUAACUACGNGCCAG
rnacentral:rRNA from 1 species